rnacentral:rRNA from 1 species
UACGUAGGGAGCAAGCGUUGUUCGGAUUUACUGGGCGUAAAGGGCGCGUAGGCGGCGCGGUAAGUCACUUGUGAAAUCUCUGAGCUUAACUCAGAACGGCCAAGUGAUACUGCAGUGCUAGAGUGCAGAAAGGGCAAUCGGAAUUCUUGGUGUAGCGGUGAAAUGCGUAGAUAUCAAGAGGAACACCUGAGGCGAAGGCGGGUUGCUGGGCUGACACUGACGCUGAGGCGCGAAAGCUAGGGGAGCGAACGGG